GCGUUUCAAAAUUGUCUACUUUUUUAUACACCUUCAUACACGUAAGUCUAAAUUCAAGUGGUUAAGUCUAUCCUCUAAGCUAGCAUAGCGGCAAUGGUGCGUGAGAAAUAUAAAAAGGGAAUAUGCAAUGUAGACUGCAAAACCACAAAUAAUUUUUUUUAAGUGCAAUGAAAUCUUACCAAAAUUGAAAUGUUUAUCCUCUGCAUUGUCACAAUUUGUCCAUCCGAUGUAAUGAUCUUUUCGUGAAAUUGUAGCAAGUCGAGAAUCUGUUAUACGGACUGUACACCACACCUUAGAGUUAAAAUGUACAGAUAAACCUCCCCAAGGGGUCUGGUUUAUAGCAUGAAUAUCACGACAAUUCUCGGAAGGAUUUGUAGCAUGAAGCAAAAACAACAUUUCAAUAUAAUCAUCAGGAACAAUCCAACGUCUUGUUGCCUCGAAACAUCCCUUUCUUUUCAAAUUGAACAUCGCACUAUUAUUAAGAAAAUGAGACCGAGCAGCUGGAUCCAAACAGUUGUUAGAAAGUUUCACAAAAGUUAAAUUUCCCCAAUUCUGUUCGGUAAACAGUUUACUUGUGACAAUAAUACACAUCCCUGUCUGUACAUGUUUCACAAAGAAACCAGCAGCUUCUGAAACAAUACACAAAAAUAAAAAUAAAUAACAAAAUAAAUAAUGGACUCCUGUUGC